rnacentral:ncRNA from 2 species
CUUUAAGCUCGCUUUUCGGGAUCGGGGUUGACGCGGCCGACGCAAGAGGGAAUCCGAUGCAAUUUCGGAGCUGUCCCGCAACGGUAAGCACAGGGAUCAAUCUCCUUGAUGAUUGUGUAAGCCCGAUACCUGCCUGUUGUGUCACAACAUG